UACGGAGGGUGCAAGCGUUGUCCGGAUUCAUUGGGUUUUAAAGGGUGCGCAGGCGGGACAUUAAGUCAGGGGGUGAAAAGACGGUUGCUCAACAAUCGCAGUGCCUUUGAUACUGGUGUUCUUGGGUGACCUUGAGGUAGGCGGAAUGGUGGUGUAGCGGUGAAAAUGCAUAGAUACCACCCAGAACUCCGAUUGCGAAGGCAGCCUCUGGAGGUUU
rnacentral:rRNA from 1 species